UACAGAGGGGGCAAGGGUUGUUCGGAAUUACUGGGCGUAAAGGGCGCGUAGGCGGCCUUCUAAGUCGAACGUGAAAUCCCCGGGCUCAACCCGGGAACUGCGUCCGAUACUGGAUGGCUUGAAUUCGGGAGAGGGAUGCAGAAUUCCAGGUGUAGCGGUGAAAUGCGUAGAUAUCUGGAGGAAUACCGGUGGCGAAGGCGGCAUCCUGGACCGACAUUGACGCUGAACGGCGAAAGCUAGGGGAGCAAACGGG
rnacentral:rRNA from 1 species